GAUGAACGCUGGCGGCGUGCCUAAUACAUGCAAGUCGAGCGAACGGACGAGAAUCUUUCUUCUCUUAUGUUAGCGGCGGACGGGUGAUUAACACGUGGAUAACCGACCUAUAAGGCUGGGAUAACUUCGGGAAACCUGAUCUAAUACCGGAUAAUAGUUUGAACCUCAUGGUUCAAAAGUGAAAGACGUUCUUGCUGUGACUUAUAGAUGGAUCCGCGCUGCAUUAGCUAGUUGGUAAGGAAACGGCUUACCAAGGCAACGAUGCAUAGCCGACCUGCGAGGGUGAUCGGCACACCUGAACUGAAGCAACGGCCCAGACUCCUAGGGGAGGCAGCAGUAGGAAAUCUUGAGAAAUGGGCGAAAGCUUGACGAAGCAAGGCCGCGGGAGUAAUGAAGGUCUCCGGAUCGUAAACACCUGUUAUUAGGAAAGAACAUAUGUGUAAGAAACUGUGCAGAUUUUGACGGAACAUCAUAAGAAAGCCACGGCUACCUCCUG
rnacentral:rRNA from 1 species